UGCUUGCGCAACAACUUCCACUUGGCUUACCUCCUCGUUUAUGCGUCAUGACUUGUAUCGUCUUGAGCGUAUUGUGGGUUUCUUGUGUUGCAUACCUAACUAAUGGUAUCGUUUUGAUUGAUUGAAGUCCCUUUUCGUCUUGUGUUGCCUUUGUGAUGCAUGAUGAACCUCGAAGCGGUCUCUAUGUUCCACCACGUUGAUGCUAYUGUUUUGAUGUUSUGGCCCAUUGAGUGUKGCUUGGUUUCGUGGAUACAGAACAUGAUUUGGGCAUAGGGUCACUCGUGACUCUUGUUUUGUCCUUUAUCAGUGUUCUUUAUAACGACGGUUCAUGCGCGCCUAGGGUWGUACCUGCGCGAUGUUCUUUGUCRAAGAGGAAUGCUACCUGGUUGAUCCUGCCAGUAGUCAUAUGCUUGUCUCAAAGAUUAAGCCAUGCAUG
rnacentral:misc_RNA from 1 species